rnacentral:rRNA from 1 species
GAUGAACGCUGGCGGCGUGCCUAAUACAUGCGAGUCGAGCGAACAGACGAGGAGCUUGCUCCUCUGACGUUAGCGGCGGACGGGUGAGUAACACGUGGAUAACCUACCUAUAAGACUGGGAUAACUUCGGGAAACCGGAGCUAAUACCGGAUAAUAUAUUGAACCGCAUGGUUCAAUAGUGAAAGACGGUUUUGCUGUCACUUAUAGAUGGAUCCGCGCCGCAUUAGCUAGUUGGUAAGGUAACGGCUUACCAAGGCGACGAUGCGUAGCCGACCUGAGAGGGUGAUCGGCCACACUGGAACUGAGACCCGGUCCAGACUCCUACGGGAGGCAGCAGUAGGGAAUCUUCCGCAAUGGGCGAAAGCCUGACGGAGCAACGCCGCGUGAGUGAUGAAGGUCUUCGGAUCGUAAAACUCUGUUAUUAGGGAAGAACAAAUGUGUAAGUAACUAUGCACGUCUUGACGGUACCUAAUCAGAAAGCCACGGCUAACUACGUG